CUGGUGGCAUAGGGAAGUUCCCCGGCUAGGCAUUGAAUCAGCUGUAGCUGCCAGUCUAUAGCAACUCUGGAUCCACAGCAACUCUGGAUCUGAGCGAAGUCUGUGACCUAUACCACAGCUCAUGACAAUGCUGGAUCCUUGACCCACUGAGCGAGGCCAGGGAUCAAACCAACAUUCUCACGGAUACUAGUCAGGUUUGUUACUGUGCCACAAAGGGAACUCCUAAAGUAGCUUUUAUUUUCCUACUGGUCUUGUUUUUCUGAGGUGGACUUAAUUUUAAAAAACACUUUUACUUGGACAUAAUUUCAAAUUUACAAAAAGUUGCAAAAAUAAAAAGUUCAGAGAAUACCUGUAUCAUUUAGUUGCUCUUGUGCAAUGUCUCUGUCUCUCUCCAUACAUAUUUCUUUAUAUGCAAUUUUUUUCUUAAACCACUUGAGGUUAAAUUAAAUACAUCCUGGCCCUUCACCCCUAAAUACUUCAGUGUGUAUUUCCUAUCAGCUUCAUAAUUUUACAUUGAAAUAACACUUGAAUCUACCAUCAAUAUUCCCAUUUUGUAGGUUGGUCAUUGUUGUAGCAUUUCCCCUGCAGUACAGGGGCCAUCUGGAGUCAGGCCCUACGUUUAGUGGGUCUUGACUUUAGCUUCUUUUACAUUCUUGAAGAAUAUAGUUUAUCCCUCCACCACCUUUUUUUUGGCCAUGCCCAUGGCAUGGAAGUUCCCUCGCCAGGUAUGGAACCUGUGCCACAGCAGUGACAAUACCAUAUCCUUAAUCCACUGAGCCACCUGCAAACUCCCUCCACCCUACUUUUUGAUAGAACAUUCCCUAUUUUGUUUUUGUCUGAUGUGUCCUCAUGAUUAAAUUAAGGUUUUAAUUCUUAACUGGACUGCUGGACAGGUGAUUUGUGUCCUUCUCAAGAUACCACUUCUGGAAGCACGUGAUAUCUGUAUGUCCCUUGUUGAUGAUGUUAAUUUUGAUCAUCUGGUCCAUAUAUGACCAUAUUUCCCAACUGGCUUUUUUUCCUUCCUGGCAAAUAAGCAAUUUGGGAGGAAACAUUUGAAGAUAUAUCCUGCUCUUCAUCAAAGUUCCUAUUUAAAUUUGGCAUCCAUUAUUGCUGAGGUAAUUUUACCAUGAUGGUUGCAAAAUGAUUCAACAAAUCUAACACUCCUUUCACAUUUACUGGUCAGCCCACAGCAUUCUACUGCAAAGAGCCCUUUCUUCUCCUAUAUUUAUCUACUUAUUAUCUCCAUUAACUUACGAAUUCCUGUUUCCCCAUUUCUAUAUUUACUUUGUUUUCUUGUGUUCCUUCUAUUUAUAUGUGUAUAUUAUACUUUUUUUCUGAACCAUUUGAUGGUAGGCUACACACAUCAUGACUUUUAACCUCUAAAUAUUUGUCUGUACUUAAUUAUUUUGGUGUUUGAAUUGUCCCCUGGUGGGUCCUAUAUCUUUGUAGUAUGCCUAUAUUAUUCUGAGGGAGUACUUCCUUGCUUUUUGGUAUAGUAAGAUGUCCCAAGUUUAGCUUGUCCUUACCCUACCCUAGCCCUGGAAUUAGCCUUUCUCUAAAGAGCCCUGUUUUCUCUUAGUGGAAAAUGGAUUGGAGAUGAAGGCUAGCAGCUCAUUGCUGCUGAGGUGCUUCUGCUUCUUGGACCUUUCAGAAGACAGAGCUAGGAAAUAGAUGAUUUCUCAGAAGUAGGAAUACUAGUUCCCAAAAAGAAUCAGGAGGUUCGACAGUGUUGAAGGUACUGAUGGAUACAGGCACACUGACAGCCAUGAAAGUGAGAACUGAGUGUUACAGAAACUCUGAAAAUACACAGAGUGAAAAUUCAGUAUUAUUGCCAAGACUGCACAACAAGAAAUCAUAAAGAAGUCCUUAAGACAGAAGGGAAAUGACACCAGAUGGAAAUACAGAUUUACACAAAGGAAGGAUGAGCACUGGAAAAGAAUGUAUUUUCCAGGAGAGAUGGCCUAUAUCUUUUUGUUAACUCCAGCUCCUGCCAAGUGUUUGACACAUAAAAGAUGUUCAGUGAAUGUUGGAUUGGUUCCUGGAAGUGGAACUACUGUAUCAAAGAUACAUUUGGAAGACUCCAGAAAGGUAGGUAAUACAGUAAUAGAUGAGUUUGCAAAUUUCAUUGCAUUCUUAGCAACACUAGCUAUUAGCAUUUAUUUUCAGUAUCUGUCAGUCUUUGGGGAGACUUUCUAUAAUUUAGUGCGACAAACUUGCAGUUUUGCUCAUACACUCAUAUUAAUAACUUUACUAUUUCAAGGACUUAAAGUUCUUUGUCUUCUCCAUGAUGCUUAACAGAGCCUUGCCCAGACAUUGAAGAAAUGCAUAUUUUAAUUGGCUUUGGCAACAUUUCUUUUAAAAUAAAUUAUAUUUUGAACACAUGGAAAGGUGAAGAAAAGUAACAUUAAAAAAGAUCCAAAUUAUUUUACUUAAUAAAAUAGAAGAUUGUACUCAAUUCUUAAUGUAGUAGUAGAGCAUUAUGGCUAUCAGCCAGCAAUGUUAUAUUUAUUGAAUUUAUUUACUGAAAUCAUACUGAUUUUAUUGAUUAUUGUGUCAUUAUCACUAUAGCACUUUCCAAAAUGUUUCAAAAUGCUUGGUUUAUAAGGUUAAGAAAAACGUUCACUAGAUAACUACUUUGAAAUAAUUUCUUCAGCGCUGCCUUCAUUCAAGAGGACUAGAAGCAUACUGGCCUGUUUCCAACUUUCUUUCAUGUUAUCUUUGCUAUGAAGUCAUUCUAUAGAUAGGGUAAUAAGCAUUUUGGCAUACAGAAAAAUAGCAUCUGUAAAACUAUAUGGCACAGUUUGGCUGGAGUUGUUCCUCCUUGAGAACUGCAUUACGUAAUUUAAAAGUGUUUUCUUAAGCUCCUUUGGGCUGCCUCCAUGGUAGCUAUGAAGUCACUGAGAACUAGGAACAGUUUGGGGCUUGAUAACAAAGUCUAUUAGUUUAAAGUGAACACUGUCAGUAUUUUAAAAAAUCAUUGCUUGAUAAGAAAUUUUAAAAACAAAGAUAUACUUAAUUCAUUUUAUUUUUUAAGGAAGCUUGCUACCUCAAAAAAUCAUCGAGAAAUACACACACAAAAAGGGUUCAUAAAUGUACAUUUGUUCAUUACUUAGAUGCUCUUAUUUUAAAACCUGUACUCUAUAGCAUGAAUUCACAGUGUGAUUUCAACUCAAUGUAACUAUAAAUAAUUAUGCAAAAUUACCAACAUGUAUAAAGCACAGCCUUUAGGAGAGUAUGAAUUAUUAAAAUGACUUCAGCACUAUUUCUGUCUCUAAAUCAUAAAGGAAGUUUUCUAAGGGAACAUCAAAGAUGUAUAAAUUAUAAUAAUAUCAGCUCUGGGAGAAUUUUAAAAGAUACUGGGUUAAAAGAAAAGAUUAAUCUCGACUACACAAAAAAAGGUAGUAUUUUCACUUCCCUAGAGAGAGAACUCUUGAGCCCCUUUACCAACCAAAUAACAAUGUGUACUAGUUUUAAAGAAAAAUAAUGCAUUGUGCAUUGUAAAAGUGGGAGAAGAGUCAUUCAGAAUUUGUAUGGUAAUCAAGUGUUAUAUCACCUCAAAGAAACAUGCAAAUUCUUAUAAAUUACCUAAAGUCUCAGCCGUCACUUUAGAAUUACUGAGUUUUAUGAAUAAACAAGCCCAAGUAAAGUCGAGACAAGAUCCUGACAUCUGAAAAGAUAUAGACCUUUUUUAGAAAUACCAUUUUAAUUAUGUAACAUGGAUUUAUUAUGAAAUUACUUAUUGGAACAAUAAUCUCCUUAGCAUUUUGCUUUUUAACUUUGAGAAGUCAUUUUGUGGCAUUGCCAAUGAUCUAGUGAGGUCCAAAAUCAGUGACAAUUCAAGGAGGGAAUGAAAAAAACUUUUAGGACCUGAUCAUCUGCUUGAAGGUACAGCCACUGUAGGUUUCCCAUCUAGCUUGGGAGAGAGAGGUGUCUGUGUAUGAGUGGCCUGACCUGGAGGGGAGGGAAUGGUCCUGAGGGAGAAGAAGGGAAGAUUAUGAGACCGCCCACCUAGACUGGCUCAUGAUUAGCUUUGCUGGAACAGUAAAAUGUGUGGGGUUUUAUAUUCCAUUCUAAUAUCAAAAAGAAGAUUUUUUUAGGUUUAAGCAUUUUUUCAUGUACAACAUACUGUUUAUAAUCUAUUUAUCUUAAGUUAACAUGUGUGGUGAUUUUAAACACAUUGCAAAUUCUGUGACACUCUUUCCAUUAAAAGACAGAAUCUAACUCCUCUGUCUAGAAUCUGUAUGGCACUAGUGAUAUGCCUCUAAAGAACAGAAUGUGAUGGAUAGGCUGUUCCAGACUUCUAAGAUUAGGUCCUACGUGAUAACAGCUUUACCUGGCUCUCAGGCUUGGGAGUCUUGGGACCCUUGGAACCCAGAGCUCUGUUGUAAGGAAGCCCAGGCUACAAGGAGAGGCAUGUGUUCUGGCUGAAAGCCCCAGCUAAAGUCCCAGCCACCCAUCAGUACAGAUUGUUAGGUAAGUGAACAGGUCUUCAGAUGAUGCAAGCCUCCAGCCAAUGAGCAGCCCUAGUUGACUCCCAGGGGACUAGAAACAAGCUGUCCCUGCAGAGCCCUACCCAGUGCGCAUUUUCAUGAACCAGUAACACUGUUAUUAUUUUAAACCACUAAGUUCUUCGGGUGGUUUGUUAUGUACAUCAGUCCUGGCUUCAAUUAAAUUUCUAGCUCUGGUUAGCUGUUAACUAGGAACCCUUUCCCUCCACUACUCCUUGUUUCCCUAGCUAGACUGAAAUCUUAGCACCUCCUAGUACUAAUUGUGGAUGAUUAAGUGCAGUUUUGAAGUGCCAUCGGGAACAAAAAACACCAUCAUGUGGACCCUUUCUAGCCAAAGUUCUUUUUCUCGAAGGCUUAGUGACUGAGCAGGGGGAAAAGAAAGCCUGAUUCUCUCCAUCUCUCCUUUUCUUCUUCCUUAGGCAUCCCUAGUUUUUAGAAAAGAGAGAAGAAAGCAAGAUUUAAUCCUCUCCUGCCCUCAUCCCCCUUCUGAAUUACAGUCUUUGGAAAGGUGCUUUCUUUUUCACUGAAAGAUUACAUAGUCUCAUAAAGAGACCAAACCA